UACAGAGGGUGCGAGCGUUAAUCGGAAUUACUGGGCGUAAAGCGCACGUAGUCGGCUUGCCAAGUCGGGUGUGAAAUCCCCGGGCUCAACCUGGGAACUGCAUCCGAAACUGGCUUGCUAGAGUAUGGGAGAGGGAAGCGGAAUUUCUGGUGUAGCAGUGAAAUGCGUAGAUAUCAGAAGGAACAUCAGUGGCGAAGGCGGCUUCCUGGACCAAUACUGACGAUCAGGUGAGAAAGCGUGGGGAGCAAACAGG
rnacentral:rRNA from 1 species